GGGGCCCGGGCGCACGGCGGGGGCUCGGCUCUGCGGGGCGGGCGGUCCUGGCCCCCGGGCGCGCUCCGAGCUCCGCGGGCUCGGGUGGGGCGGUGGUGGACGGUUUGGCGCGCGAGGUCUAGAGGGGACUCUCUUCCUCCCGAAGAGUGUCCACGGACGCUCAGUGCGUCCUCACGCACUUUCCUGCUCCAAAAAUUUGGCUAAAGUUUUGUUGGAAAGUAGCAUCCAGAUGUGGAAGAUUUUCAAAAGUCGUGCGUAAAUUUAGGAACUAGAUCCAGAAAAAACGAUUACUCAGGGUGGUCAAAUGAAGGUGAAGUGCUGUAGAUAUGGUGUCGGUGAAUUUGCCGUCAAAAUGAAGAGUCAGCCAGUCCCCUCGUCUGUGUGAUGUACGUACGGCCAGCUUAUUUACUCGGGAGGACAGAGGGAAAAAAAUAACAGGAAACCAACCCACAUCAAACAAUGAAGAUGAAUAUCAAUAUUUGUUCCUUUCCGGAUAAGAGGAGUUAUGCACAGUAUUACGUCAUCAUAGCAGCACUUGAAAGAAUCGAAGUUGCUUUGAGCUUGAAGAAUUUCCAGUACAGCAAUUUGGCUGUUGUCAUCUAAAUGAAGUAAAGUUAAAAUAUAGCCUUUUAACAGAAGUAAGUAGAUAUUAUUCGAAGUAUCCAUGGUCGCCAUCUGGAAGCUGUGCUUGUUAUCAAACUUGAGAUCCAGGAACCUGGUCCGAUGCUGCCAGCAGAUGUUGCCAAAUUGCCGUCUAUACAGGAUGAACCACCUUACACUCCUACUGGUAAAAAUACCCUUUGGUUGUUUUCAGUUGUGAAAAUAAAUGAAGACCACCCAGACGAGGACACACAAAGGCUCUUUAUUCAAAGCUGGCUACAGCGAGGGUGUCAGUGCCGUCACAGGCUGCGCAGAGACUCGAAGGCGGCAGAGAUGGGACAGGCGUCAGGCACCGCCUGCUAGGAGGGCGCUGGCUGGGAAGCUGGAGGUGGCAGUGGUUCAUGCUUUCUGAUUGCUCUGUAGCAUCCUGUUGAAUGACUAUGCCACAAAACAGGGAAGGGCUGGAGUCUGCCCCACAUUGCUAACGCCAUUUCCUCACCUGUUGUGCAUCCUUCAGCCUCCUCCCCUAUCACAAGCAAAGAGAAUUCGCUGGCAUCAAUGCAACCAUGUUAGAAUAAAAGC
rnacentral:lncRNA from 1 species